UGGGGAAUAUUGCACAAUGGGCGCAAGCCUGAUGCAGCCAUGCCGCGUGUAUGAAGAAGGCCUUCGGGUUGUAAAGUACUUUCAGCGGGGAGGAAGGGAGUAAGUUAAUACCUUUGCUCAUUGACGUUACCCCCCGAAGAAGCACCGGCUAACUCCGUGCCAGCAGCCGCGGUAAUACGGAGGGUGCAAGCGUUAAUCGGAAUUACUGGGCGUAAAGCGCACGCAGGCGGUUUGUUAAGUCAGAUGUGAAAUCCCCGGGCUCAAACUGGGAACUGCAUCUGAUACUGGCAAGCUUGAGUCUCGUAGAGGGGGGUAGAAUUCCAGGUGUAGCGGUGAAAUGCGUAGAGAUCUGGAGGAAUACCGGUGGCGAAGGCGGCCCCCUGGACGAAGACUGACGCUCAGGUGCGAAAGCGUGGGGAGCAAACAGG
rnacentral:rRNA from 1 species